CGCACAAGCGGUGGAGCAUGUGGUUUAAUUCGAUGCAACGCGAAGAACCUUACCUGGUCUUGACAUCCACAGAACUUUCCAGAGAUGGAUUGGUGCCUUCGGGAACUGUGAGACAGGUGCUGCAUGGCUGUCGUCAGCUCGUGUUGUGAAAUGUUGGGUUAAGUCCCGCAACGAGCGCAACCCUUAUCCUUUGUUGCCAGCGGUCCGGCCGGGAACUCAAAGGAGACUGCCAGUGAUAAACUGGAGGAAGGUGGGGAUGACGUCAAGUCAUCAUGGCCCUUAC
rnacentral:rRNA from 1 species